rnacentral:rRNA from 1 species
GAUGAACGCUAGCUACAGGCUUAACACAUGCAAGUCGAGGGGUAACGAGAGGAAAGCUUGCUUUCCUCGUUGACGACCGGCGCACGGGUGAGUAACGCGUAUCCAACCUGCCUAUAACUAGGGAAUAACCUUGCGAAAGUAAGACUAAUACCCUAUGAUUUCCUUUGAUGACAUCAGAUUAGGAAUAAAGAUUUAUCGGUUAUAGAUGGGGAUGCGUCUGAUUAGCUUGUUGGCGGGGUAACGGCCCACCAAGGAAACGAUCAGUAGGGGUUCUGAGAGGAAGGUCCCCCACAUUGGAACUGAGACACGGUCCAAACUCCUACGGGAGGCAGCAGUGAGGAAUAUUGGUCAAUGGGCGGAAGCCUGAACCAGCCAAGUAGCGUGCAGGAUGACGGCCCUAUGGGUUGUAAACUGCUUUUAUACAGGAAUAAAGUUAGCCACGUGUGGUUAUUUGUAGGUACUGUAUGAAUAAGGACCGGCUAAUUCCGUGCCAGCCGCCGCGGUAA